rnacentral:rRNA from 1 species
CCCUUAGAUGUUCUGGGCCGCACGCGCGCUACACUGAUGCAUUCAACGAGCCUAUCCUUGACCGACAGGUCCGGGAAAUCUUUGAAUCUGCAUCGUGACGGGGAUAGAUUAUUGCAAUUAUUAAUCUUCAACGAGGAAUGCCUAGUAGGCGCAAGUCAUCAGCUUGCGUCGAUUACGUCCCUGCCCUUUGUACACACCGCCCGUCGCUCCUACCGAUUGGGUGUGCUGGUGAAAUGUUCGGAUCGGCCGUUUGUCGCGGUUUCCGCGUCAUGUGGCUGAGAAGUUCAUUAAACCCUCCCACCUAGAGGAAGGAGAAGUCGUAACA